rnacentral:rRNA from 1 species
AGCGAACGCUGGCGGCAGGCCUAACACAUGCAAGUCGAACGAACCUUUCGGGGUUAGUGGCGGACGGGUGAGUAACACGUGGGAACGUGCCUUUAGGUUCGGAAUAACUCAGGGAAACUUGUGCUAAUACCGAAUGUGCCCUUCGGGGGAAAGAUUUAUCGCCUUUAGAGCGGCCCGCGUCUGAUUAGCUAGUUGGUUGAGGUAAUGGCUCACCAAGGCGACGAUCAGUAGCUGUUCUGAGAGGAUGAUCAGCCACAUUGGGACUGAGACACGGCCCAAACUCCUACGGGAGGCAGCAGUGGGGAAUCUUGCGCAAUGGGCGAAAGCCUGACGCAGCCAUGCCGCGUGAAUGAUGAAGGUCUUAGGAUUGUAAAAUUCUUUCACCGGGGACGAUAAUGACGGUACCCGGAGAAGAAGCCCCGGCUAACUUCGUG